AACGAACGCUGGCGGCAGGCUUAACACAUGCAAGUCGAGCGCCCCGCAAGGGGAGCGGCAGACGGGUGAGUAACGCGUGGGAAUCUACCCAUCUCUACGGAAUAACGCAUGGAAACGUGUGCUAAUACCGUAUACGUCCUUCGGGAGAAAGAUUUAUCGGAGAUGGAUGAGCCCGCGUUGGAUUAGCUCGUUGGUGGGGUAAAGGCCUACCAAGGCGACGAUCCAUAGCUGGUCUGAGAGGAUGAUCAGCCACACUGGGACGGAGACACGGCCCAGACUCCUACGGGAGGAAGCAGUGGGGAAUAUUGGACAAUGGGCGCAAGCCUGAUCCAGCCAUGCCGCGUGAGUGAUGAAGGCCCUAGGGUUGUAAAGCUCUUUCACCGGUGAAGAUAAUGACGGUAACCGGAGAAGAAGCCCCGGCUAACUUCGUGCCAGCAGCCGCCGCGGUAA
rnacentral:rRNA from 1 species